GAUGAAGAACGUAGCGAAAUGCGAUAAGUAAUGUGAAUUGCAGAGUUCAGUGAAUCAUCGAAUCUUUGAACGCACAUUGCGCCCGUCAGUAUUCUGACGGGCAUGCCUGUCCGAGCGUCAUUUCAACCCUCAAGCACUGCUUGGCGUUGGCGGAUUGCGUGUCCUCGCGGCGCUGCAACCGCCCAAAUACAGUGGCGGUCCCGCUGCGGCUCCCUUUGCGUAGUAACUCACCUCGCACUGGACCGGGCGGCGGCCUGCCGUAAAACCCCAACUCACGAAAUGUUGACCUCGGAUCAGGUAGGAAUACCCGCUGAACUUAAGCAUAUCAAUAAGCGGAGGA
rnacentral:misc_RNA from 1 species